rnacentral:rRNA from 1 species
CCUACGGGAGGCAGCAGUGGGGAAUAUUGCGCAAUGGGCGAAAGCCUGACGCAGCGACGCCGCGUGAGGGAUGAAGGUCUUCGGAUCGUAAACCUCUUUCAGCAGGGAAGAACGGUCACUGUGCUAAUCAGCAGUGAAUUGACGGUACCUGCAAAGGAAGCACCGGCUUACUCCGUGCCAGCAGCCGCGGUAAUACGGAUGGUGCGAGCGUUAAUCGGAAUUACUGGGAGUAAAGCGCUCGUAGGCGGGAUGUCAAGUCAAGGGUGAAAUCCCCGGGCUCAACGUGGGAACGGCAUUUGAAACUGGCAAACUGGAGUGUGUGAGAGGAUAGUGGAAUUCCAGGUGUAGGGGUGAAAGCCGUAGAUAUCUGGAGGAACAUCAGUGGCGAAGGCGACUAUCUGGCACAUAACUGACGCUGAGGAGCGAAAGCGUGGGUAGCAAACAGGAUUAGAUACCCCGGUAGUC